GAUGAACGCUGGCGGCGUGCCUAAUACAUGCAAGUCGAGCGAACGGACGAGAAGCUUGCUUCUCUGAUGUUAGCGGCGGACGGGUGAGUAACACGUGGAUAACCUACCUAUAAGACUGGGAUAACUUCGGGAAACCGGAGCUAAUACCGGAUAAUAUUUUGAACCGCAUGGUUCAAAAGUAAAAGACGGUCUUGCUGUCACUUAUAGAUGGAUCCGCGCUGCAUUAGCCAGUUGGUAAGGUAACGGCUUACCAAGGCAACGAUGCAUAGCCGACCUGAGAGGGUGAUCGGCCACACUGGAACUGAGACACGGUCCAGACUCCUACGGGAGGCAGCAGUAGGGAAUCUUCCGCAAUGGGCGAAAGCCUGACGGAGCAACGCCGCGUGAGUGAUGAAGGUCUUCGGAUCGUAAAACUCUGUUAUUAGGGAAGAACAUAUGUGUAAGUAACUGUGCACAUCUUGACGGUACCUAAUCAGAAAGCCACGGCUAACUACGUG
rnacentral:rRNA from 1 species